rnacentral:rRNA from 1 species
CCUACGGGUGGCAGCAGUGAGGAAUAUUGGUCAAUGGGCGCAAGCCUGAACCAGCCAAGCCGCGUGAAGGAAGACGGCCCUAUGGGUUGUAAACUUCUUUUGUACGAGGGUAAAAGGAGACACGUGUGACUUUCUGAAUGUAUCUUAUGAAUAAGGAUCGGCUAACUCCGUGCCAGCAGCCGCGGUAAUACGGAGGAUCCAAGCGUUAUCCGGAUUUAUUGGGUUUAAAGGGUGCGUAGGUGGUUGGAUAAGUUAGUUGUGAAAUCCAGAGGCUCAACCUUAGAAUUGCCAUUGAUACUGGCAGCCUAGAGUGUAGUUGAGGUAGGCGGAAUGUGUGGUGUAGCGGUGAAAUGCUUAGAUAUCAUGCAGAACUCCGAUUGCGAAGGCAGCCUACUAAACUGCCUCUGACAUUGAGGCACGAAAGUGUGGGUAGCAAACAGGAUUAGAUACCCGAGUAGUC